UGGCUCAGGACGAACGCUGGCGGCGUGCCUAAUACAUGCAAGUCGAACGCUUCUUUUCUACCGAGUGCUUGCACUCACUUGAAAAGAGGAGUGGCGGACGGGUGAGUAACACGUGGGUAACCUGCCCAUCAGAGGGGGAUAACACUUGGAAACAGGUGCUAAUACCGCAUAACAGUCGACACCGCAUGGUGUUGAUUUGAAAGACGCUUUCGGGUGUCACUGAUGGAUGGACCCGCGGUGCAUUAGCUAGUUGGUGAGGUAACGGCUCACCAAGGCCAUGAUGCAUAGCCGACCUGAGAGGGUGAUCGGCCACACUGGGACUGAGACACGGCCCAGACUCCUACGGGAGGCAGCAGUAGGGAAUCUUCGGCAAUGGACGAAAGUCUGACCGAGCAACGCCGCGUGAGUGAAGAAGGUUUUCGGAUCGUAAAACUCUGUUGUUAGAGAAGAACAAGUAGGAGAGUAACUGCUCUUACCUUGACGGUAUCUAACCAGAAAGCCACGGCUAACUACGUGCCAGCAGCCGCGGUAAUACGUAGGUGGCAAGCGUUGUCCGGAUUUAUUGGGCGUAAAGCGAGCGCAGGCGGUUUCUUAAGUCUGAUGUGAAAGCCCCCGGCUCAACCGGGGAGGGUCAUUGGAAACUGGGAGACUUGAGUGCAGAAGAGGAGAGUGGAAUUCCAUGUGUAGCGGUGAAAUGCGUAGAUAUAUGGAGGAACACCAGUGGCGAAGGCGACUCUCUGGUCUGUAACUGACGCUGAGGCUCGAAAGCGUGGGGAGCAAACAGGAUUAGAU
rnacentral:rRNA from 1 species